AUGGCUCAGGAUGAACGCUAGCUACAGGCUUAACACAUGCAAGUCGAGGGGCAGCAUGACGGUAGCUUGCUACUGUUGAUGGCGACCGGCGCACGGGUGAGUAACGCGUAUCCAACCUUCCCACAAAUAAGGAAUAGCCCGGUGAAAAUCGAAUUAAUACCUUAUGUGGUCAUAAGAAGACAUCUGAUUAUGAUUAAAGAUUUAUCGUUUGUGGAUGGGGAUGCGUCUGAUUAGGUAGACGGUGGGGUAACGGCCCACCGUGCCGACGAUCAGUAGGGGUUCUGAGAGGAAGGUCCCCCCACAUUGGAACUGAGACACGGUCCAAACUCCUACGGGAGGCAGCAGUGAGGAAUAUUGGUCAAUGGGCGAGAGCCUGAACCAGCCAAGUAGCGUGCAGGAUGACGGCCCUAUGGGUUGUAAACUGCUUUUAUGCGGGAAUAAAACGAGGGACGUGUCCUUCUUUGCAGGUACCGCAUGAAUAAGGACCGGCUAAUUCCGUGCCAGCCGCCGC
rnacentral:rRNA from 1 species